AGAGUUCGAUUAUGGCUCAGGACGAACGCUGGCGGCGCGCCUAACACAUGCAAGUCGAACGAGCGAGAGAGAGCUUGCUUUCUCGAGCGAGUGGCGAACGGGUGAGUAACGCGUGAGGAACCUGCCUCAAAGAGGGGGACAACAGUUGGAAACGACUGCUAAUACCGCAUAAGCCCACGACCCGGCAUCGGGUAGAGGGAAAAGGAGCAAUCCGCUUUGAGAUGGCCUCGCGUCCGAUUAGCUAGUUGGUGAGGUAACGGCCCACCAAGGCGACGAUCGGUAGCCGGACUGAGAGGUUGAACGGCCACAUUGGGACUGAGACACGGCCCAG
rnacentral:rRNA from 1 species